GGGGAUGUAGCUCAGUGGUAGAGCAUGUGCUUAGCAUGCAUGAGAACAUGGGUUCUAUCCCCAGGACUCUCA
rnacentral:tRNA from 1 species